CCCUAAAUUCACAAAAACUCUUAACUCAUUCUCAACCUAGCUCUCAAUCCCUAAUCUCGCUGCUGUGCUUUAUGCCACGCAACUUGACGCCUCCAUGCUCUGACCCAUUUCCCUUUCCAUUCCCUCUCCCAUCCAACACACUCCCCACUUCGAAAUCGCCUUCUCCCCUCCUUCCCUCACUUCCACCCUCUUUGAUUUCCUUUCCACCCAAAUCUCCAAAUCCCCUUCCUCCCAUCCAAAUUUGGGUGACAUUCCAUACAUCAAAUGCCAGGUUUGUGAAAAGCUCGCAGCACAGUUGUACCACCAGGUUCAGAAGAAGCAAGCUAAGAUUGAUCCCAAGAAGGUUAUUUGAGAAUUUGUGACCAGUUGUUCUCAAGCUCCCUUACUUGUGUUCAAACACUUACUGCGAACCUUUACUAUUCGUAAGGUUGAGUGGUCUGUGGCUGUUGCAUCACUGCCAUCUUCCAUCACCACCAACAAGAUGGGCGACAUCAAGUCAGUAGCCGUGAAAUCCUACAAAAAGGAAUAAGUAGACUUGGAGUACACCGAUGUGAUGUAUGCCAAGGAGCCUCUGACAAGCUAGUUAGUAGUUGCUGGGAUUGGGCAUUAAUGGGUUGAUGAUGUCACUAUGGAUAUGUCAACUGCCUAAGCUAUUACUAGAGGUGUUGCAACUCCUGCUGGAGGUGUUGCAGCUUUUGUUGAAGUUAAGGCAACUGCUGCUGGAGUUAAGACAGCUUCUGCUAGAGCUGUUACUAAUACUUUUUGACUAAGUUUUUUCUUUUGAAAAAUUAUAUGUUUAGUCUACGGUUUUAUUACAUUAUAAUUUUGGUAAGUAAUAAAUUCGUUGGUUGAUGUUUGAUGAAGGUUUAGAGAUGUAACUAUGGUCUCUUUGUAUUAUGACCAAAGUUUGGAGAGUAAGGAGAGCAUUUAAUGUUG